rnacentral:rRNA from 1 species
CACGUAGGGGGCGAGCGUUGUCCGGAUUUAUUGGGCGUAAAGCGUGCGUAGGCGGCUGCGCAAGUCGGUUGUGAAACCCCGGGGCUCAACCCCGGAACUGCAUCCGGUACUGCGUGGCUAGAGGUAGGUAGGGGAGAUCGGAAUUCCUGGUGUAGCGGUGAAAUGCGCAGAUAUCAGGAGGAACACCGGUGGCGAAGGCGGAUCUCUGGGCCUUACCUGACGCUCAGGCACGAAAGCUAGGGGAGCGAACAGG